UGCUGAACAGACUGACCUCUGACCUUGCCUUCCAUGACAUGGUUGCUGGCUUCUUAGAGAUCAUCUGCUUCAUUGUUUUCCAACUGUGGUACCCAAGGGGAUUUGGAUGGUACACAGUCAAACAUGUUCUAUUUGAGCAAUUAUGCAUUUUAAAGUGCAUUGGGAAGAGAUGGCUGGCACAUCAAAUUCAUUAUUCACAGAUAAAGGACAACAGAGAGAACAUAUUUUUAAAAAGUGUUAUAUAAACACUGGUUCCCAUGGUGAGGGUGGCAGGUAAGGGACUGAAACCAUGAUCUAGGCAGCUCUCUUGUUCUACAGAUGAGGAGAUUGAGGCCAAGAGAAGGACGAUGAGGGAUGGGCCACACCCAUUCCAUGUGUGCCUGAGAGGUUGCAUCUCUCAACUCUCUGGCUAGUGUUCUUCCUCAGAUCCUGAGCUAUUUUGAGUUAGGCAGCUUUUUGGAUUCCUUAGAAACCAAUGCCUAAUCUUCAGGCAUGGAAAACUUUUCAGCUGAAUCUCCUUCCUGUUAUAGAAUGAAGAGGAAUCAUUGUAAAAGAGGCUCAGCUGAUCCCAGUUUUACUUACCUGGUCUCCAACAAAGGACUAGGAAAUGUGCACACAGGACCUCCGUAUCCAUCUGACCUCUUUUUGAUUGUCAAAAACUAAAAUAUAACCACUACUGGCUUAGACAGAGAGGUAUUUAUUGGCUCAUGGAUUGAAAGGGAGAAUUUAUUGAAGAACUAAGCCCCAGAAAGAGAGGAGACCCAGCUGGACUUUGGGCACUGACCACACACGGAUCUCAGACACUGCCAUCCCUCUCUGCUCGUGUGUCAUCUCCACUUUCUCCUGAGAAUGGCUGCCCACUGCUCCUGGCCUUCAUGUCAGUCUCACAUCUUCUGCUGCUAGAUAUCAGAGAGGGUCUGGCUCUGAUUUUUGGUUCCAAUGUGAAAAAUCCCAGAGAAGGAUUCUGAUUGAUCAGGCUUGGGUUGAAUGUCAAACGCUGAACCAAUCAACUGUGUUUAGUGGGGGGCUGGGCAGGGCCAAAGCCAAGGAAGAACAUGGCUGCUGUAUUAGUCUGUUAUCAGGCUGCUAAUAAAGACAUACCUGAGACUUGGUAAUUUAUAAAGGAAAGAAGUUUGAUGGACUCACAGUUCCACAUGGCUGGGGGUGUCUCACAAUCAGGGAGGAAGAUGAAGGAAGAGCAAAGGGACUUCUUACAUGAUGGUGGGCAAGAGAGAGCUUGUGCAGGGGAACUCCCAUUUAUAAAACCACCAGAUCUCCUGAGACUUAUUCACUUCCACGAGAACAGCACGGGAAAGACCCACCCUGAUGACUCAAUUACCUCCCACCAGGUCCCUCCCAUGACACAUGGGAAUUAUGGGAGCUGCACUUCAAGAUGGGGCUUGGGUAGGGUCACAGCCAAACCAUAUCAGCUGCCUUCUCUCAAGCCACAGGAUGCUGUUCUGCAGAGAAGGUGGUGGUGGGGCCUGGUGAUCAGACCGAUCCAGAGACCACCUCUGGCUUUGUUCUAGAAUUUCUUUGGGGAAAUUCGCCGGAUUCAGCUUGAAUUGGGGUGCACGGGACAAUUAGUUUUCCUGAAGUACUGCUUCACUGCUACUUCCUACCCUUCAAAAAAUAUUGCAUUCUGACCUGCUAGAGAAGACCAAGGCCCAGCUAUCCGGGUUCCAGCUCACCCUUUUUGAGCAGCAAUGUGGCAAUUGCAUGACGACUACAAAUAUUUGAGCUGAUUGUACUCACUUACAUGCAGCAAUGAAUCAUCUUGUGAUGAGAGGCCCAAAAUAUGCUGGGAUGAAAUUAAUGUCAAUUGAAACAGAAAAUGGAUUCUAGCUCCCACCACAAUGAGCUUCAGAAGAUGGGCGCAGAGCACAGGGAGUCUACUGCUGCUAUUCUUAGUGGCAAAAAAAUAAAAAAAAAAUCCUAUGCCACUGAUAUUACUUUUUCUAUUUUUAUUUUCUUAUAAAGCUUCUUUUCAGCUCCUCCUAUAGGGGCACCUUCUAAUCAGGGACUUUGGUUCAGGCUCCUUCUUGAGUUCUCGGGUCUCUGAGGAUUAAAAAAAAGAAAGAAAGAAGGAAAGAAAAAACUAGCAUAGAUCUUUCCUCACCUUUAAAGUAUAAAGGAGAGGAAAAAAAUGAGGAACUGUAUCCCCCCAAAACAACUGGAGGUUUACACUUCCAAAUGCUGGAUGUAUCAAUGCUUAACAACCGAGGUAACAUAUUUCUUGGUGGAGGGGGGUGUGGUGGUGAUACAAUUUUGAAGACUUAACCGGUGUUCCUGCCAUUUCCUUAGCUCCCCCUUACUCCUUUUCCAGUCAUCAUUUUGUUACUGGCUUUUGAGUUUUCAAAACGUAGGCCCUGCAGCAACUAGAGACAGAUUGGAGAGAAUUCAUGGUGGAUCUGAGCAAAGCUUCCCACCACAGCAUCAGAAAAGGAUUCCCUAGGCUGAGCAGAGCAGACUUAGAGGGAACACAGUGUGCGCUGAGAUGCUGGAGUGUCUCUGGGAAAAUCUUGGUCUCAUGAGAGCCUUCCCAACCCUGGAGAUCCCCAGCAGGGGCACUGACACCUGUUUGCUCCAGGCAUUAUUCCUGAGUUCUGGGCCCUGCUCCUCAUGCCCUCCAUGUCUAAUGGCUGGCCACACCACUGUCUGAAUAGUCCUGUCCAUAUGCUCCAGCCACCCCACCCAUUUGAGCUCCUUGGGCGACCUAAGCCCAGAGUCAGCCCAAAACCUCUGGGCAAGGACUCGAGCUCUGUAGGGCAAACCGACCCAACAGGCCCUAGCACUUAUCUUCUCUGAGCUUCGGUUUUCCCAAAAGUGAAAUGGGAAUAAUGUACUCAACAGAGAUGGAGACCAUGUAAAUUAUAAAACUGAUAAAGCUCUUGGCUCUGCAUUCAUCACGUGAUUGCCAGCUCGUGGUUAGUGGCUUGUUGUCUGAGGCUAUAAAAAGCAUCGCAGCUGAUCUCUCUCGCCUCUGGCCUGAGUGCUGGGCCAGGGGCUCGGCCUCACUCAAGCCUCUCUCUGGCUCCAUCCAGUCCCCUGAGGCACCUGUAUUUUGCUUGGGACAAAAUCCCCUUAAGAAGCGAAGAGAUC